CGGCCCUGAGUAAAGCGGCGCACGGGUGAGUAACACGUGGGUAAUCUGCCCUAGAGUGGGGAAUAACACCGGGAAACCGGUGCUAAUACCGCAUACGAUCACGAGGUCUUCGGAUUUUGUGAUGAAAGGAGCAAUUCGCUCUUGGAGGAGCCCGCGGCUGAUUAGCUAGUUGGUGAGGUAAUGGCUCACCAAGGCUACGAUUAGUAUCCGGUCUGAGAGGACGGUCGGACACACUGGAACUGAGACACGGUCCAGACUCCUACGGGAGGCAGCAGUGGGGAAUUUUUGGCAAUGGGGGCAACCCUGACCAAGCAACGCCGCGUGGGUGAUGAAGUCUCUUGGGACGUAAAACCCUUUCGACGGGGAAGAAAACCGCAAGGUUUGACGGUACCCGUAGAAGAAGCCCCGGCUAACUCCGUGCCAGCAGCCGCGGUAAUACGGGGGGGGCAAGCGUUGUUCGGAAUUACUGGGCGUAAAGGGCGCGUAGGCGGUUCGCUAAGUUGGAUGUGAAAACUCUGGGCUCAACCCAGAGCCUGCAUCCAAAACUGGCGGGCUAGAGUUCUGGAGGGGAUAGCGGAGUUCCUGGUGUAGCGGUGAAAUGCGUAGAUAUCAGGAGGAACACCGGUUGGCGAAGGCGGCUAUCUGGACAGAGUCUGACGCUGAGGCGCGAAAGCUAGGGGAGCAAACAGGAUUAGAUACCCUGGUAGUCCUAGCCCUAAACGAUGGAUACUUGCUGUGACUGGGAUUGAAUCCAGUCGUGGCGAAGCUAACGCAUUAAGUAUCCCGCCUGGGGAGUACGGUCGCAAGGCUGAAACUCAAGGGAAUUGACGGGGGCCCCC
rnacentral:rRNA from 1 species